UAAAUAGUCUCCGUGCAAAAAUAUCUAAGGAAUAAUAUCUAUGAUAUUGCGCCAAAGUGAAAAUAAUCACUUUCAGGGUUAUAUGGGAAACUGUUUAGCCUUCCAUGUUUGAAAAGGAGUAUUAUUUA
rnacentral:ncRNA from 1 species